GAUGAACGCUGGCGGCGUGCCUAACACAUGCAAGUCGAACGGGUGCCUUCGGGCAUUAGUGGCGCACGGGUGAGUAACACGUGGUUGAUCUACCCCAAAGUAGGGGAUAACGUUCCGAAGGAAUAGCUAAUACCCUAUAAGCUCCCGGUCGUUUAGAAGACUGGGAGAAAGUUACCGGCGCUUUGGGAGGAGACUGCGAACCAUCAGCUAGUUGGUGAGGUAAAGGCUUACCAAGGCGACGACGGUUAGGGGACC
rnacentral:rRNA from 1 species